rnacentral:rRNA from 1 species
UAUAUACAAUAAAACAUGACAGUCAAUUUUUUCGAGAGUUUGAUCCUGGCUCAGGAUGAACGCUGGCUGUGUGCCUAAUACAUGCAUGUCGAGCGGAGUUCUUCGGAACUUAGCGGCGAAUGGGUGAGUAACACGUACUUAACGUGCCCUCUAGAUUGGGAUAACGAUGAGAAAUUAUCGCUAAUACCGGAUACUUAUUAGUUUGGCAUCAAACUAAUAUAAAAGGAGCGUUUGCUUCACUAGGGGAUCGGGGUGCGGAACAUUAGUUUGUUGGUGAGGUAAUGGCUCACCAAGACGAUGAUGUUUAGCGGGGUUGAGAGACUGAUCCGCCACACUGGGACUGAGAUACGGCCCAGACUCCUACGGGAGGCAGCAGUAGGGAAUUUUCCACAAUGGACGAAAGUCUGAUGGAGCGACACAGCGUGCAGGAAGACGGCCUUCGGGUUGUAAACUGCUGUUAUAAGGGAAGAAAAAGCAAUAGAGGAAAUGCUAUUGCCUUGACGGUACCUUGUCAGAAAGCAACGGCUAACUAUGUGCCAGCAGCCGCGGUAAUACAUAGGUUGCAAGCGUUAUCCGGAAUUAUUGGGCGUAAAGCGUCUGUAGGUUGUGUGUUAAGUCUGGCGUUAAAACUUGGGGCUCAACCCCAAAUUGCGUUGGAUACUGGCACGCUAGAAUUGUGUAGAGGUUAGCGGAAUUCCUAGUGAAGCGGUGAAAUGCGUAGAUAUUAGGAAGAACACCAACAUGGCGAAGGCAGCUAACUGGGCACAUAUUGACACUGAGAGACGAAAGCGUGGGGAGCAAACAGGAUUAGAUACCCUGGUAGUCCACGCUGUAAACGAUGAUGAUUAGCUGAUAGAGAACUAUCGGCGCAGCUAACGCAUUAAAUCAUCCGCCUGAGUAGUAUGCUCGCAAGAGUGAAACUUAAAGGAAUUGACGGGGACCCGCACAAGCGGUGGAGCAUGUGGUUUAAUUUGAAGAUACGCGUAGAACCUUACCCACUCUUGACAUCUUCCGCAAAGCUAUAGAGAUAUAGUGGAGGCUAACGGAAUGACAGAUGGUGCAUGGUUGUCGUCAGCUCGUGUCGUGAGAUGUUCGGUUAAGUCCUGCAACGAGCGCAACCCUCAUCCUUAGUUAAAUAUCCUAAGGAGACUGCCCGAGUAAUUGGGAGGAAGGUGGGGACGACGUCAAAUCAUCAUGCCUCUUACGAGUGGGGCAACACACGUGCUACAAUGGAUAGUACAAAGAGAAGCAAUACGGUGACGUGGAGCAAAUCUCAAAAAACUAUUCUCAGUUCGGAUUGUAGUCUGCAACUCGACUACAUGAAGUCGGAAUCGCUAGUAAUCGUAGAUCAGCUACGCUACGGUGAAUACGUUCUCGGGUCUUGUACACACCGCCCGUCACACCAUGGGAGCUGGUAAUGCCCGAAGUCGGUUUUGUUAACUACGGAGACAACUGCCUAAGGCAGGGCCGGUGACUGGGGUGAAGUCGUAACAAGGUAUCCCUACGAGAACGUGGGGAUGGAUUACCUCCUUUCUA